rnacentral:rRNA from 1 species
CAGCAGCCGCGGGAAUACGUAGGUGGCAAGCGUUGUCCGGAAUAACUGGGCGUAAAGGGUGCGCAGGUGGUUUAACAAGUUAGUGGUGAAAGGCAUAGGCUCAACCAAUGUAAGCCAUUAAAACUGUUUAACUUGAGUGCAGGAGAGGAAAGUGGAAUUCCUAGUGUAGCGGUGAAAUGCGUAGAUAUUAGGAGGAAUACCAGUGGCGAAGGCGACUUUCUGGACUGCAACUGACACUGAGGCACGAAAGCGUGGGGAGCAAACAGGAUUAGAUACCCCGGUAGUCCCUGUCUCUUAUACA